rnacentral:rRNA from 1 species
AUUGAACGCUGGCGGCAGGCCUAACACAUGCAAGUCGAGCGGAGCGGCGGACGGGUGAGUAAUGCCUAGGAAUCUGCCUGGUCGUGGGGGAUAACGUCCGGAAACGGGCGCUAAUACCGCAUAAUAUCAGAUGAGCCUCGGUCGGAUUAGCUAGUUGGUGGGGUAAAGGCCUACCAAGGCGACGAGCCGUAACUGGUCUGAGAGGAUGAUCAGUCAGACUGGAACUGAGACACGGUCCAGACUCCUAGGGGAGGCAGCAGUGGGGAAUAUUGGACAAGGGGCGAAAGCCUGAACCAGCCAUGCCGCGUGUGUGAAGAAGGUCUUCGGAUUGUAAAGCACUUUAAGUUGGGAGGCGUUACCAAAAGAAUAAGCACCGGCUAACUUCGUGCCAGCAGCCGCGGUAAUAG